CCGAAACGAAAAACUCACGUGAAACGAAACGAAGAGAGCUUUAGCAAGUCGAACUGAUCGGACGAAAACCGCUGCACCGAAACCCGCAAAGACUACGCUGGAGCUCCCUGCAUUUGGGCUACCGCGACUGCCAUCGCCAUCAUCUUUGUUUUGGUUGUCAUUGCUGGGUGCAAAUGGCCGGCGUGUGUGUUCUUAAUGUUUCUGAGCAACAAGUUUUGCAAAGUUUGGUUCGGAGGGAGUAUGGAACGCCGUUUUGUGGUCAACGUGGCCAGAGUGCCUCAAAAGUACUCCUGCCGCAUUCUGGUCACUGUUAUAAAUGUGAAUCCCUGCCACCAUCAGCAGCUUUUAAGUAGAUUCAUGGCACAUGAGGAACCUGCGAUGUACACCAUCGCACACAGUCAAGAAAAAUGUAGCAUUUAACCUUGCUUUCCUUCAUUAUAACAAACAAAAAAAAGAAAGAAAGAAAGAACACUAGAGAAAGGGUCGGCAAAACAGUGAGUGUUUUGUUGUUGUUGUUUUUGAUUCUAUUGAUCUCUCACUGUCAGGUUGCACUGCCGAUCUGUUCACAAUCAUAACUAACUAAUACCUUAGCUUUGGCCAAUCUCAUGUUGCAAUUUUGCUUCAAACACAACAUUCAGGGAUUCUUAUGAAAACAGCAGCAUUUCUGAAAGAUCCUGGAACGGCCACAAUCUCAAGAGGUAGUACGAUUCUACCCGUCGUCAUAUUUCGUCCGCCAAGCCAUUGCGCGGAGAUGUUGGCUCCAUGCCCAUUUCAACACAGGCUCACCCGCGCUCGCUCGCGCGUCGUCGCUUGUCUUCCAUGCCACCAGCCAGCGCUGCGCGCUGCCUGUCGCGCAUGCGCUGUUCUUGUUGGCUUCGCUUUGGCUGCUGUAACGGUCGUUUCUCGUCGCCGCGUGUAGUUCGCGUAAUUGCGAGCGUUCCAGCAAGUCUAAAGCGUUUUAGAGGCUUUGUAUUGUUGUUCUCACCUGGUGCUGUCGUUCUUGCAACCCGUCUGAUAUUGCAACUGUCUGUAAGUGGAAGCGUUUCUUCUAACCGCGAGCAAACCAGUCGGUCUCGUUUGACAUGUCAAAGAGUGAAGACGCUACCUUGCAUGUGAAGCCAAAUCGUUCUUCGCCUUCAGGAUUAUUGCCGUUUCAGGGAUCUGCGCAACGACAGGGAGAUAGAACGCCAAGUGAAGUCGACUGUGUACUUUGUGCAGACGGUUCAGCGUGUAUGACGCAGCGGCCUUCAGCAAGAGAAACUCAAGCACCGUGUUCAAAUGCAGUGGGGACUCUUGCUGGCCAUGACAACGCUUAGAAGUGCUUUUUCGGAAGAAGGACAAGUUGGACCGGAAAUGAGGACCUAGGUGUGCUCUUUUGCGCUGUUGUUCACCGUUCGAUCAUUACCAGUUUUUGUGCCCCCGUGAGUUCAACGCUUAGGUAUGUUGAUGAUAAAUGGAUAUGCGUUAAAAGGUACGUACUCCGGAGUGGUGAAUUGUUCUGGUGAAGUGAUUCGUUGCUGCUAUCUCCUGUUUCGUGAGGGUUCUUGUCGGUACUCAUAUACCGCAGGCAUGAGGGGCUUUCUUUGCAGAACAUUUCAGUAAACCAAGACUGCAGCAUUUUCAAGAUUGCCAUAACCAGCAUCAAUGCAGCUCUCAUGUCAACAUCAGCAUCAAGACAGCUCUGAUAGACCACCUCUUACUGUGUACGUUCCCCCCCCCCCCCCUUUUGAGACACCAUUGAAGGGCCAGUGGUUACGCAGGCAGGCUGGAUAUUACGACACAAUUGGCAUGCAUUGGAUGAUGCAGGCAGACUGCUUAGUGUACACCACUCGUCGUUUAGUCUAUUGAGGUGCUCCAAGUGUUGUGUCAGUCUAUUUCCUCUCCGAAAAUAAAAUGUUGGGCUCUACA